rnacentral:rRNA from 1 species
GACGAACGCUGGCGGCGUGCUUAACACAUGCAAGUCGAACAGAAAGGCCCUGCUUGCAGGGUGCUCGAGUGGCGAACGGGUGAGUAACACGUGGGUGAUCUGCCCCUUACUUUGGGAUAAGCCUGGGAAACUGGGUCUAAUACUGGAUAGGACCAUGCUGUAGGUGGUGUGGUGGAAAGAUUUUUUCGGUAAGGGAUGAGCUCGCGGCCUAUCAGCUUGUUGGUGGGGUAAUGGCCUACCAAGGCGUCGACGGGUAGCCGGCCUGAGAGGGUGGACGGCCACAUUGGGACUGAGAUACGGCCCAGACUCCUACGGGAGGCAGCAGUGGGGAAUAUUGCACAAUGGGCGCAAGCCUGAUGCAGCGACGCCGCGUGGGGGAUGACGGCCUUCGGGUUGUAAACUCCUUUCAGCCAUGACGAAGCCUCUUUUGGGGUGACGGUAGUGGUAGAAGAAGCACCGGCUAACUACGUG